AUGAAGAUACCUCUAAAGAAUAAAAUCUUUGCAUGAUAUCUUUGUCGUGGAGUCAUUCUUACUAAAGAUAAUCUUAUUAAGAGAAAUUGGCAUGAAAAUACGCAAUGUAUAUUUUGUCAGCAUGAUGAGACAAUAAAAUAUUUGUUCUUCCAAUGCAAAUUAGCUCAUUCUAUAUGGUCAGUCAUCCAAAUAGCUUCUGGCUUAUAUCCUUCUUGUAGUGUUGCUAAUAUAUUUGGCAACUGGUUACAUGGGAUAGAUCACAGGUUUAGAACGCUUCUCAGAGUGGGAGCGCUUGCCGUUAUUUGGUCGCUUUUUGACUAUGUACAAAUGAUAAGGUUUUUAAUAAUAAAAGUAUUUCUCUUAUGCAGGUUAUCUACAGAUGUAUCGGGACUCUUCGUUUAUGGUCUUAUCUACAAUGCGUGGAGAAUCGAGACCUGUUUACCAAGGUGUGUAUACGAUUGGAGGCUACGGCGAGGGAUACUUUUACCCAACAUGGGUGGCAGCAUUAUCUUAGGAUUGGGCCCCUCCGGUUUAGGUGUUAUGGAGACUCUACAUGUUUCUUUGUAUUUUGCCUCUUUUUAUUUUUGGUUUUGGUGA
rnacentral:rRNA from 1 species